GGCGGGAGCCGCCCGUUCGCGCUGCCAGCAGCUUCCGCCUGCUACGGUCCUGGCAAGCACCUCGGGAUCCCAUUCCUUCACAGGGACCCUAGCCAGGAGUCUCUGCAUUAGUUGGACAGCUCUUCUGGAAUUAUCUUCUAAGUCAACUGUGGGUUGGGUAGGUGGCUCUGCUGAUUUUUCGCUGGACUUCCACAUUUGGGACGAGUUGGCUGUCAUCAGCUCUAGAAAGGGUGUGGCCGUUUUACAUUGGCUGUUUUCCUCACAUUCCUCAAGCAGGUACUGUAAUAAAGAACUGGAGAAAUACAGUCAGAUGGGAAGUAGCCCUUGCUGUCAAGGAGCUUGCCAUCUAAUGGGGGAGACAGGCAAGUAAACCAAAGACUACACAGUGCAGUAUGGUAAGUGCCAUGAUUUUGAUGUGACAGGGCACAGUGGACGACCUUCCAAAUCAAAGCAAGUAACUAGGGGUUGACAAUGGUAAGUAUCAUAGUUGAAGUAUCCUUGAACAAGGUUUCAGGAAGAAGAAGAAGGGAAUUUCAUGCAGGGAAACAGCCAAAGCUCAGUGAGUCAAAAUAUCACAGCAUUCUUGGUAAGCCCAAUUGUUUUUUCUGUUUUGCUAUUUUGGUGGAGAGAAAGGAACACAUAAAGGAAUAACAUGAGAGAAGGCUAUUUGGGGAAGUGUAGUAGUUAAGGUUCUGGCUCAAACAACAACUGCAGCUCAUAAAGUUGACUUUAGUGGAAGGAUACUGGGGUAUCUCAUGGAAUCUUGGGAACUGUUGAAUAACCAGGGAAACUCUGGGAAACUCACUGGUAGGAAUCCAUAAACUGUCCUCCUGGUGGGCUGUAAACAACUCACCCUCUAUGCAUCUCACAUCAAAAUUCCAGUUUCUUGGGAAAACAAGUCUGUUUGCCCAAUUUGGGUCAUAUUUCCACGUCCAUGUUACUCAGGCAUGAUUCAUCUGCAAGUUAUGUGUAUAGAUAUUUUGCUACUGUUCCACCCUUACGCUGUGCUGGGGAGGGAGGUGUCACUGUGAGCUGUGUCGGUGCCUUAAGAGAUAUCUGUUGUGUCUUAUUACUUGGUUGCUUUUCCCCACAUGUACAAUGACAAAAAUGCCUUCAACCUAUUUGAUCCAGCCGUUCCAGUACAACUCCUAUACUUGCCAUCUUUCCAAGCCCAAAGGUACAUCCAGCUGAUGGAAGGAGCAUCUUGGUGUUAAUAUUCUUUUAGUCAUGGUCUCUGAAAGUAAAAUGUCUAUUCUUCUAAUUCUGGCACAAUCUUAUCUAGCUAUAGUUCCUCAUGGUCCUGCACUCCAUGGACUAAAUUGUAAGUAUAAUUACUACCAAUGUACUCUAUAAAUAACUUUUGGGGCCAGGGUGGCAAUAGUUGCUAGAGAGAAAAAAAAAAAAAAGGAAGGAGAAGAAAACAGUGAUAGUUCUUAUUUUAAAAGGAAAAAAAGAGGCAGGAGGCUCUCUUGAGGCCAGGAGUUUAAGACCAGCCUAGGCAGCAUUUCAAGACCCUGUCUCUACUAAAAAGUAAAAAAAAAAUUUAGUCAGGCAUGGUGGCAUGCACCUGUAGUCGUAGCUACUCAGGAGACUGAGGUGGGAGGAUUGAUUGAGCUCAGGAGUUUGAGGCUGCAGUGAGCAAUCAUCAUGCCAUUGCACUCCAGCCUGGGCAUCAGAGCAAGACCUUGUCUUUUAGGAAAAAAAGGCAGGGAAGAGGAAUAGGUAAUUUUUCAGUGUUCAGACAUUCCAGCAAUAUGUGUGGAGUACUCAUUCUCACUACAGUUUAUGAGGCCAUAGCUAGUAUGUAUGACUACCCAUCCAAGUUUCCCUGCUUACAGUUACUAUUCCAACUGAUUGGGGGGCUUUUCCUAAUAGAGUGAUUUAAGCCUUCAUUUUUAGACAUCUAAGCCCUUGGUGAUCAUCAGCAUAAAAUGUGACAAAUUAAACAAAAGCAAGACAGCACAUCAGAGAACAACUCUGAGGUGGAAUGAUUGGGAACCAAUGAAUAGUUGUUCAGUAAAUGGUUUAUAUUUUACAGAUGAUGAAACUGAAACACAAAAAAUUUAGAUUAACUCUUAGGUGACAAAGCCAGGAUUGAAGCUCAUGCGGUCUGGCUCCAGAACAACUCUUCUUCAUAGUUACGUUAUACUGCCCCUGCAUUGUUGGUAUUGAAAGUAAGUGUAGGCCCUGGGCCUUCUAUACCUGGGAUUAAGUCACAUAUUCCUCUUCCUCUUCAAAUUUUACUAGUCUUGUGAGCGAGAAAAAGCUACUGAAUUUUUCUAAGCUCAGUCUUUUUCAUUUAUGAAAUAGAGAUAUCCUUUGUGGGCCGGUUGCCGUGGCUCACGCCUGUAAUCCCAGCACUUUGGGAGGCCGAGG
rnacentral:lncRNA from 1 species